UACGUAGGGUGCAAGCGUUGUCCGGAAUCAUUGGGCGUAAAGCGCGUGUAGGCGGCUCGAUAAGUCCGGUGUGAAACCUUGGGGCUCAACCCCAAGCCUGCACUGGAUACUGCCGAGCUAGAGUUCGGUAGGGGAGACUGGAAUUCCUGGUGUAGCGGUGAAAUGCGCAGAUAUCAGGAGGAACACCGGUGGCGAAGGCGGGUCUCUGGGCCGAUACUGACGCUGAGGAGCGAAAGCGUGGGGAGCGAACAGG
rnacentral:rRNA from 1 species